UACGUAGGGUGCGAGCGUUGCCCGGAUUUAUUGGGCGUAAAGGGCGCGCAGGCGCCACGCGCGUCCGUUGUGAAAUCGCUCGCUCAACUGGGCGAGGUCAGCGGAUACGGCGUGGCUGGAGCAAGCUAGGGGGCAAUGGAAUUCCCGGUGUAGUGGUGGAAUGCGUAGAUAUCGGGAGGAACACCAGUGGCGGAAGGCGGUUGCCUGGAGCUUUGCUGACGCUGAGGCGCGAAAGCGUGGGGAGCGAUCCGG
rnacentral:rRNA from 1 species